GUGAAAUUCUGCCCCUGCCUCCCUUGGACCUGGCUGAAUACUGCUUUCACCAACCCAUGGAGCCACCCUGCCCUGACAGCUAGCAAGAGGCCAAGACUCACAGAACAACCACCACUGCCCAUCUGUCAGCAGGAGGAAUACUUGACUGGUAAAGGAAGAAUGCCUCAAGUGAGCCUGUGUACAACUCCAGUAAACACACUGUGCAUGCAGCCCCCUCCCAAGUGCUGGC
rnacentral:lncRNA from 1 species